rnacentral:rRNA from 1 species
GACGAACGCUGGCGGCGUGCUUAACACAUGCAAGUCGAGCGGAAAGGCCCUGCUUUUGUGGGGUGCUCGAGUGGCGAACGGGUGAGUAACACGUGAGUAACCUGCCCUUGACUUUGGGAUAACUUUAGGAAACUGGGGCUAAUACCGGAUAGGAGCUCCUGCUGCAUGGUGGGGGUUGGAAAGUUUCGGCGGUUGGGGAUGGACUCGCGGCUUAUCAGCUUGUUGGUGGGGUAGUGGCUUACCAAGGCUUUGACGGGUAGCCGGCCUGAGAGGGUGACCGGCCACAUUGGGACUGAGAUACGGCCCAGACUCCUACGGGAGGCAGCAGUGGGGAAUAUUGCACAAUGGGCGGAAGCCUGAUGCAGCAACGCCGCGUGCGGGAUGACGGCCUUCGGGUUGUAAACCGCUUUCGCCUGUGACGAAGCGUGAGUGACGGUAAUGGGUAAAGAAGCACCGGCUAACUACGUG